AUUGAACGCUGGCGGCAUGCCUUACACAUGCAAGUCGAACGGCAGCACGGGCGCUUGCACCUGGUGGCGAGUGGCGAACGGGUGAGUAAUACAUCGGAACGUACCUUAUCGUGGGGGAUAACGCAGCGAAAGCUGUGCUAAUACCGCAUACGCCCUGAGGGGGAAAGCGGGGGAUCGCAAGACCUCGCGCGAUUAGAGCGGCCGAUGCCUGAUUAGCUAGUUGGUGGGGUAAAAGCCCACCAAGGCGACGAUCAGUAGCUGGUCUGAGAGGACGUUCAGCCACACUGGGACUGAGACACGGCCCAGACUCCUACGGGAGGCAGCAGUGGGGAAUUUUGGACAAUGGGGGCAACCCUGAUCCAGCAAUGCCGCGUGAGUGAAGAAGGCCUUCGGGUUGUAAAGCUCUUUUGUCAGGGAAGAAACACCGGCUCUAACACAGUCCAGGAAUGACGGUACCUGAAGAAUAAGCACCGGCUAACUACGUGCCAGCCGCCGCAGUAA
rnacentral:rRNA from 1 species